GGUUCUAUAGUGUAGCGGUUAGCAUGUCUGCUUUACGCGCAGAAGGUCCUGGGUUCAUGCCCUAGUGAAGCCA
rfam:Pteropus alecto contig162791, whole genome shotgun sequence.